GUAAUAUUGUUGAAUUUUCACAGAAUUCGAUGGAAAUCUUUACCAGAUCUGCUGGUGCCUACCGACACAAUCUGCCAUAAUUCGAUGGCUUAGAGUAGUUUGUGUAUUUGAAUAUCUGCCAAAAUUAGUUGGUCUUGAGUACCGUUUGUAUUGAGUUUGUUUAUUAAGCUGUAGACACCUAUCUAGAAGGUGUAUUGCUUCCGAGAUUGAAUCGGAAAGUAGUCGUUUAUAUCCAUCGAAUUCCUGCGGCAGGUUUUGGAAAUUUUCAUGGAUCCUUGCCAUGAUCCAUGAAAAUUUCUACCAAAGCAGCAAUGUUGUGUUACAGUUAAUUAUUUCAUUCAUUAUAUUGAUACGAUAAGAGCGCAUUUGGCAAACAUUUUAUUUUUACCCAUUCCCCUCAUAAAGAAACUCAUUCGUGAAUGCACAAAUAUGAAACUUUUUCUCGGAGUGCUAAAAAUCAAAAAACACUGAGAUAAGACACAGCAAAGAAUUUCGAAUUGACUUUGAGUGGAUUUCGCUAAGCAUGUAGAAUGCCAAAAUCAAAACAAACCAAAAGAACUGAAUAGUUGGCAGCAGUGCUUUGCCAGCUAGUUUCCGGAAGAAAAGUGAACGACGCGGAAGUAAAAAGUGCGCUAGCUGUCGGAAAACGCCGUCGCCAAUUCCUGAAAUUCGGGAACGCAAGAAAACAGCAGGAACCGACAGGCUCGCUCCACCGUUUGGCCGCUACCACAAACUCUUCCGGGUAGGACGACUGCCGAAACGGCAAAGAGGCUUUGGGCCACAAACAAGUCAGAAUUGCCUAUUCGUAAAGUCGCCAGCAGUACCUCCUCUGCUCUGCAGGCACUUGGAAAAGCACGAGGUUGAAUCGAAGGACAAACUUCUAAGCAAGCCCGGAGAGAUUUGCGGUAGCAAUCGGCCAACUCGAAAGAGCCACGCAGACCCGGAAAUUGCCUGCCGAAAGGAAAAGGAAAAUUGCACACAAGGGGUCGGAGACGUGAGUACUUUUUCUAUCAUCAUUAUGCCACGUCUGACCGACGCUUUCCCCCCGACAGGACCCCUUUUUUAUAUAUCCUUCUGGUACAUUCCCGUUUGUUCAUCCUGGUGCACUUUUCUUGCACAUUUUGACCACCGUCACUGACAAUCGGUUGGGGCGUGUAUCGACACGUGCCACAUCAUUUGUUUUCCCCUGGGAGGAGCAAAUUGCUUCAGUCCCGAGAGGCAUUUUCGCGGAGCCGCGGCCGGAGCAAACUGGUUGGUCUCCACGGCGGAAAAUCGUCGACUCGGCCUAUUGGUACCGGACAGUCGUGUCAACAGCUGCAGCAGGAGCUUUUCGUGGAUCCGCGCAGGAUCAAAGGCCCGGAACUCAUCGUUUGGACAGUCGAUGACAAAGCGGUUCGAUUCAUUGUCGACAACAUACUGGGGGAACCGAACCGCUGGGAGCAUUUGCGAAUGCAUCGGUGCACCCGAAGACGAUCGUGGGCGAGAGUUUGUCGCCAGGAAAACGACAAUGAAAAUUUCCAUGCACCAGAUCACGAAAAGGAAAUUCGUCGCUUCGAAGAAUCUGAGGCACGGGUGCAAGAUCGCGACCGGAUCGUGUUGUGCAUGCCAGUGAGGAGUAAGGUGGUGGGCACGAGAUUGCAGCGCAGUGCCACAGCUGCGCGAGAAUCUUGCGCAUGUGUAGGUGAGGAGCCAUCUUAUUGGAAAUUAGUUUGUGCGAAUCGAGAACAAAUUUGCGGAGUGGAUUCGCGAUCACAUCGAGCGCUGAGUGCGGCACGGGUGAGGUCAUCCGAAGCGUGUCGCACAGUCCGGAAGGUUACGAACGGAUUCGAGCAGGAAUUGCGCAAAUCACCCAGGAGAUUGGGUUGCGCAAACAGAACGAGUUUACCAGGCAGAAUGAAAGCCUCAAGGAGGCCAAAAGGAUCGUCGAGCAUUGUGUAGCAUGUAGCCACGUAAGUCGACCACUCAAAAAUAUUUAUGGGGGAUAAUAAAAUGGGUUCAAUCCAAUUGCAACAACAUUAAAGUUGCCCAGAAUAUGUUUGCUUCUAUUUUUCUGAUUUUUGCGCUUUGUGGCUUCAA